UACAGAGGUCUCAAGCGUUGUUCGGAUUCAUUGGGCGUAAAGGGUGCGUAGGCGGUCGCGCAAGUCGGAUGUGAAAUCUCGAGGCUCAACCUCGAAACUGCAUUCGAUACUGCGUGGCUAGAGUGCUGGAGGGGAGACUGGAAUUUACGGUGUAGCAGUGAAAUGCGUAGAUAUCGUAAGGAAGACCAGUGGCGAAGGCGAGUCUCUGGACAGCAACUGACGCUGAGGCACGAAGGCCAGGGGAGCAAACGGA
rnacentral:rRNA from 1 species